CUUAUCUCAUCUACAGUCUCCGUUGUAGGUAAAAUGCAUCGGUCCACAAGUGAUGUAGACUUAAAUCAAUAUAAUGGUGUACAGGGAAUGGUUAAUAACCAGGAUUCACUAAAAGACGACAAGAAGAAACGAGGACGUUCUCCUUUCAGAUUCUUCUCUCGUAAACGUGAUGCAAGCAAUGAUCGUCUGAAGAAGGGAAGAACUCCAGAACCAGCUAUGGAUGGAGAUGUCAGUCCUGAGAGAAAACCAGUUGGCAUGGGCCGCACUAGUACACUACAUGUGCGGACACCACAAGUGAGGGUCUCGCAGACGGACUUGAAAAUUAUUCCACCUACCAUCCCAGACAGAAGUCCAAAGGUAAUGUCUGUCCCAGCUGUCUCAGGAGUGGAAUCUAUUGGCAAUGAGAUAUUCGAUGCUGAAUGUCUCAGACUCAUCAAUGAGUACUUCUAUGGUAUAAGGAUCUUCCCUGGACAGGACCCAACUCAUGUGUACGUGGGCUGGGUAACAACGCAGUAUCACUUCUUCAGCAAGGAUUUCAAUCAGAGUAGUGUCCGCAAGGCUUCUGUUAUGAUUGUGGAUGACGAUGACAGAAUUAUUGAAAGAUGGAACCUGAAACAUCUUUGUGGAAGCGACGAGCAUGGGGCAUGUUAUACCACACUUUCCACCAAGACUUAAAGUACAAUGCUUGAAACCUCAUCAGUGGGCACGAGUACCUAAUCAAUCUCUGCAAGUGCAUGCCCUGAAGCUGUCAGACAUUCGUGGUUGGAGUAUGCUGUGUGAAGACGCUGUGUCCGUGUUGGCACUUCACAUUCCAGAAGAAGACAGACGCAUCGAUAUUUUGGAAUUAAUUGAGAUGGAACGAUUGCUGAGUUUUCAUUCCCACACUCUCACUUUGUACGCCGCGCUCUGCUACCAGUCCAAUUAUCGUGCAGCUCAUGCCCUCUGUCUCCAUGUGGACCAGAAACAACUAUUAUAUGCCAUUUGCUCAGAGUAUAUGUCGGGGCCCUUGCGACAGGGUUUCUAUGAUCUGCUUCACUUGGAAUCACGUGCUCCGACGAUGCGAGUAGUUCUUCCUGCUUUGCUCAUCCUAAUACUUAUACAAUAUUAGUACCGUAAUUAAAUUUAUAAUUUUAAACUGUAUUUUAUAAUAGUUUACGUAAACAGAUUCUUCUCGUCGUUAUUCAGAUUAUACAUUUUUAAAGUGUUGCGUAAGGUUUUUACGCAUGCUUGUCUUAAAUUCAUUGACUCCCAUUCUGCUGUAAUUAAAAUGAAUUUUAAUUCUCAUCUGUAAAUUUUAUAUCAGUUCUGACAUGGUGCUUUA